AUGAACGCUAGCGGCAGGCUUAACACAUGCAAGUCGAGGGGCAGCGAGGGUAGCAAUACCUGUCGGCGACCGGCGCAAGGGUGCGUAACGCGUGAGCAACAUGCCCGUAUCAGGGGGAUAAUCCAGGGAAACUUGGUCUAAUACCCCAUAGUAAUAUUUUCAGGCAUCUGGGGAUAUUUAAAGCUUCGGUGGAUACGGAUUGGCUCGCGUGACAUUAGCUGGAUGGUAGGGUAACGGCCUACCAUGGCUACGAUGUCUAGGGGUUCUGAGAGGAAGAUCCCCCACACUGGAACUGAGACACGGUCCAGACUCCUACGGGAGGCAGCAGUGAGGAAUAUUGGACAAUGGAUGGAAAUCUGAUCCAGCCAUGCCGCGUGCAGGAAGACGGCCCUAUGGGUUGUAAACUGCUUUUAUACGGGAGCAAUAAGGUCUACGCGUAGGCCGAUGAGAGUACCGUAGGAAUAAGCACCGGCUAACUCCGU
rnacentral:rRNA from 1 species